rnacentral:tRNA from 1 species
AGCAAUGUGGCUUAGUGGGUAGAGCAUGGGCCUGGUAGUCAGAAGGACCUGGGUUCUAAUCCCAGUUCUGCCA